CAAGGAAUUUUCCGCAAUGGACGCAAGUCUGAAGGAGCAACGCCGCGUGCCGGAUGACGGCCUUCGGGUUGUAAACGGCUUUUGGAUGGGACGAUGAUGACGGUACCAUCCGAAUAAGCCCCGGCUAACUCCGUGCCAGCAGCCGCGGUAAGACGGAGGGGGCAAGCGUUGUCCGGACUCACUGGGCGUAAAGGGUGCGCAGGCGGUGCCGUGCGUCGGCGCUGAAAGCGCCCGGCUUAACCGGGCGGGGUGCGGCGAUACGACGGCACUCGAGGCAGGUAGAGGUUGGCGGAAUUCCGGGUGUAGUGGUGAAAUGCGUAGAGAUCCGGAGGAACGUCGGUGGCGUAAGCGGCCAACUGGGCCUGACCUGACGCUGAGGCACGAAAGCGUGGGGAGCGAACC
rnacentral:rRNA from 1 species